UUCCGGUUGAUCCUGCCGCCGGACCUGACUGCUAUCGGAUUGAUACUAAGCCAUGCGAGUCAUUGUAGCAAUACAAGGCAGACGGCUCAGUAACGCGUAGUCAACCUAACCUAUGGACGGGAAUAAUCUCGGGAAACUGAGAAUAAUGCCCGAUAGAACAUUAUGCCUGGAAUGGUUUAUGUUCCAAAUGAUUUAUCGCCGUAGGAUGGGACUGCGGCCUAUCAGUUUGUUGGUGAGGUAAUGGCCCACCAAGACUAUUACAGGUACGGGCUCUGAGAGGAGUAGCCCGGAGAUGGGUACUGAGACACGGACCCAGGCCCUAUGGGGCGCAGCAGGCGAGAAAACUUUGCAAUGUGCGAAAGCACGACAAGGUUAAUCCGAGUGGUUUCUGCUAAAGGAACCUUUUGUCAGUCCUAGAAACACCGACGAAUAAGGGGUGGGCAAGUUCUGGUGUCAGCCGCCGCGGUAAAACCAGCACCUCAAGUGGUCAGGAUGAUUAUUGGGCCUAAAGCAUCCGUAGCCGGCGCUAUAAGUUUUCGGUUAAAUCUGUACGCUCAACGUACAGGCUGCCGGGAAUACUGCAGCGCUAGGGAGUGGGAGAGGUAGACGGUACUCGGUAGGAAGGGGUAAAAUCCUCUGAUCUAUUGAUGACCACCUGUGGCGAAGGCGGUCUACCAGAACACGUCCGACGGUGAGGGAUGAAAGCUGGGGGAGCAAACCGGAUUAGAUACCCGGGUAGUCCCAGCUGUAAACUAUGCAAACUCAGUGAUGCAUUGGCUUUAAAGCCAGUGCAGUAUUGCAGGGAAAGCCGUUAAGUUUGCCGCCUGGGGAAGUACGUACGCAAGUAUGAAACUUAAAGGAAUUGGCGGGGGAGCACCACAAGGGGUGAAGCCUGCGGUUCAAUUGGAUUCAACGCCGGG
rnacentral:rRNA from 1 species